rnacentral:lncRNA from 1 species
GAAAUUAUUUGUUCGAACUCGUGUGUCAGCCUAGAUAGAUGAGCACUUAGCUAUACUUGAUUAUCACAUGAUUAUAUUAUUAUGGCAUUUGAUACAUCAUGACUUGGCAUAUUUCUGGUUAUAAUACUAUUAUAAUGCUGUUGAUUUAUUGUUUACAUACAUAUGCAAUAUGUUUUAAGGAAACUAUACUUGUUUUACGGCGAGGGGUUAGUAUAUUCGAAAAUAAAGGAUUUCGUAUAAGCAUUGUUUUACUGACCCACUCAACUUUAUUUUUCGCCCCUCCAGGACCUAGAUAGUUGUACUCUUUGUGGCACUCGAGGAAUCUCGGCAGUUCUGACAUUCUCUUCUGUUUAGACGUAGGAACUUAUCAUUAUUAUGUAAUAAGUGUACUUUAGUUACUUUGACUACUCUUCUGUAGUCUCAUUGUCUAUUACGCUUUGAAUAAUUGUAAUGGGUUCUUCCCACGAUUGCGCACUCUUUCACUAUUUAGUAUAAUUAGUUUCAAUUAGUCUUGAAAUUAUUCACUUUUUUACAUCACUUACCCUUAUGGUUACGUCACCUCACGGUGAUGGCCAGCAUGCUUCGACCUUCCCAGAUUGGGGUGUGUCAAAUUUGCGGUUUUGGAUAUGGUUAAUUUUCGUGGUUAUGGGAUGGAUAUGACACUUCUGUCUCCAAACCGAACCGCUGACAUCCCUACAUGGUGGUUUAUAUUGAGAGCAAUUUUUUUUAUCCAUUGAUAAUGAAGCUAUAAUGCAGCGUGUUCACAAUAUGAAAACACAUCGGAAACAAUUGUAACUUGGAUUGUUAUUUAUUCUAUAAAUUAUGAAUGACGGAGCUAUGAUUUAAUUUUUGAGAUUAUUAUAUGUCUAAAAAAUGUUUGUAAACUUUUACAUGUAAUCCUCCGAAUAUUUUUUCUUGAAUCCGCCAUUGUUCCAAAGUCCAUACACAAUUGUGAAAUCUUUCGCCCAUGGAAAAGCAAUCACCAAUGGCCCAUGCUCUAAUCAUACAAAACAAGCAAUAAAUGAAGGGGUG